GAUGAAGAACGUAGCGAAAUGCGAUAAGUAAUGUGAAUUGCAGAAUUCAGUGAAUCAUCGAGUCUUUGAACGCACGUUGCGCCCCCUGGUAUUCCGGGGGGCAUGCCUGUCCGAGCGUCAUUGCUGCCCUCAAGCACGGCUUGUGUGUGGGCCCCCGUCCCCGGUUUCCCCCGGGGACGGGCCCGAAAGGCAGCGGCGGCACCGCGUCCGGUCCUCGAGCGUAUGGGGCUUUGUCACCCGCUCUGUAGGCCCGGCCGGCGCCAGCCGACACCCAACUUUAUUUCUAAGGUUGACCUCGGAUCAGGUAGGGAUACCCGCUGAACUUAAGCAUAUCAAUAAGCGGAGGA
rnacentral:misc_RNA from 1 species